UACGUAGGGGGCUAGCGUUGUCCGGAUUUAUUGGGCGUAAAGAGCGUGUAGGCGGCUAGGUAGGUCCGUUGUGAAAACUCGAGGCUCAACCUCGAGACGUCGAUGGAAACCAUCUAGCUAGAGUCCGGAAGAGGAGAGUGGAAUUCCUGGUGUAGCGGUGAAAUGCGCAGAUAUCAGGAAGAACACCCGUGGCGAAGGCGGCUCUCUGGGACGUGACUGACGCUGAGACGCGACAGCGUGGGGAGCAAACAGG
rnacentral:rRNA from 1 species